AUGUACACUGUAUGUGAGCCAACCACAGGGAGAUAUUCCAUCUGAGAACGUUUUAAUAAAUAUAGAGGCAGUGUUUCCCCAAAGCUUUCCUUUGAUGGCACUGUAGGAGAGAAGCGAGAGACGGUAACUGCAGCUCACUGAUUAUAUUACCCUUUCUCGGUACACGGGUAUGCUGGUUACCGAGAGAGGAAGGGUAGGCAGGAGACAAAAAGAGGAAGAUGGAGGAAGAGGGAAAGAGGCCCCGUAUUUAUAGAGGCCGGGAGAGGGGAAAUGAGUCUGCAAAAAGUAGGAAAAGAGGUUUGAGUGUGUCUGACGCUGCUGAGCUGCUGACUUCAACUUCUAACACAUCUGGCUGGCUGGAACAGAGCUGUAUCGCCCAGACUCAUCUAUUAAAUUCCCUGCUACAGACCCUCACAAAAAACAGGAUUUCCUGAUUUUGUUUCCCUGGAGACGUGGCUCUUCCGACAAUGGUGUUUCAAUGGAUUCGACCCUCCCUUGGCAGCUUCACAAAAUUUCGACCAAUUCAAGACGUCCUUGGCAAAUUCACAGUAAUUCGACACGCUCAGGACUUCCUUGACAACUUCCCAUUUCACUUAGAUGGACGAAGAUGUGCAGAGCUCACUCACCAGUUGGUUAUACAGGUAUUUCAACAUAUUCAAGUCAUCCUCGGCAAAUUCAGAGUAUUUCGACCAAUUCAAGACUUCAUUGACAGCUUCAAAGUAAGGACUUUGUGUGUUUGAUAUUUGGGCACAUUUUUAUAAUCACAACAUGAUUAUAUGUUAUAAG
rnacentral:lncRNA from 1 species